rnacentral:rRNA from 1 species
AUAAGCGCGUAUGGUGGAUGCCUUGGCAGUAAGAGGCGAUGAAGGACGUAGUAGCCUGCAAUAAGCUUCGGGAAGCUGGCAAACAAGCAAUGAUCCGGAGAUUUCCGAAUGGGGAAACCCAACCUUUAAUUAAGGUUAUUGUGUGCUGAAUUCAUAGGCACAUAAGGCGAACCUGGGGAACUGAAACAUCUAAGUACCCAGAGGAAAAGAAAUCAACCGAGAUUCCGUCAGUAGUGGCGAGCGAAAGCGGAACAGCCUAGUUACUAAAUCAUUAUUGGCUUUAGCAGAAUGUUCUGGAAAGUUCAGCUAUAGUGGGUGAUAGCCCCGUAUGUAAAAGGGCUAAUAAUGUGGGUAACGAUGAGUAGGUCGGGACACGUGAAAUCUUGACUGAAUAUGGGGGGACCAUCCUCCAAGGCUAAAUACUCCUUACUGACCGAUAGCGAACUAGUACCGUGAGGGAAAGGUGAAAAGAACCCCGGCAAGGGGAGUGAAAUAGAACCUGAAACCGUAUGCGUACAAGCAGUCAAAGCACUUCUUUGGAAGUGUGAUGGCGUACCUUUUGUAUAAUGGGUCAGCGACUUACUUGUUGUAGCAAGCUUAACCGUAUAGGGGAGGCGUAGGGAAACCGAGUCUGAAAUGGGCAUUUAGUUGCAACAAGUAGACCCGAAACCGGGCGAUCUAUCUAUGGCCAGGGUGAAGGUCAGGUAACACUGACUGGAGGCCCGAACCCACUACUGUUGAAAAAGUAGGGGAUGAGUUGUGGAUAGGAGUGAAAGGCUAAUCAAGCUCGGAGAUAGCUGGUUCUCCUCGAAAGCUAUUUAGGUAGCACCUCGUGUAUGACUCUUGGGGGUAGAGCACUGUUUCGGUUAGGGAGCCAUCCCGGCUUACCAAACCGAAGCAAACUCCGAAUACCAAGAAGUUUUAGCACGGGAGACACACUACGGGUGAUAAGGUCCGUGGUGAAAAGGGAAACAGCCCAGACCGCCAGCUAAGGUCCCAAAAUCACAGUUAAGUGGAAAACGAUGUGGGAAGUCUCAGACAGUCAGGAGGUUGGCUUAGAAGCAGCCAUCCUUUAAAGAAAGCGUAAUAGCUCACUGAUCGAGUCGUCCUGCGCGAAAGAUUUAACGGGGCUUAAACUAUGUACCGAAGCUGCGGAGCUCUUUUUAGAGCUGGUAGAGGAGCGUUCUGUAAGCCUGCGAAGGUAAAUCGAGAGGUUUGCUGGAGGUAUCAGAAGUGCGAAUGCUGACAUGAGUAACGAUAAUGUGGGUGAAAAACCUACACGCCGAAAGUCCAAGGUUUCCUGCGUAACGUUAAUCGGCGCAGGGUGAGUCGGCCCCUAAGGCGAAGUAGAAAUGCGUAGUCGAUGGGAAACAGGUUAAUAUUCCUGUACUUUACAAUACUGCGAUGGGAGGACGGAGAAGGCUAGGUCAGCCACUCGAUGGUUGUAGUGGUUUAAGUACGUAGGAAGAGUUCUUUGGCAAAUCCGGGAACUCAAUUCUGAGAUAUGAUGACGAAGCAUGACUCGUUCAUGCGAAGUGACUAAUGCCACGCUUCCAGGAAAAGUCUCUAAGCUUCAGGUAUUGUAGAACCGUACCCCAAACCGACACAGGUGGACAGGUAGAGAAUACUAAGGCGUUUGAGAGAACUUGGGUGAAGGAACUAGGCAAAAUGACACCGUAACUUCGGGAGAAGGUGUGCCCUUAGUAAGUGAAAGUCCUCGCGAUUGGAGCUGAAGAGGGUUGCAGAUACCAGGUGGCUGCGACUGUUUACUAAAAACACAGCACUCUGCAAACUCGUAAGAGGACGUAUAGGGUGUGACGCCUGCCCGGUGCCGGAAGGUUAAAUGAUGGGGUUAGCCCUCGGACGAAGCUCCGGAUUGAAGCCCCGGUAAACGGCGGCCGUAACUAUAACGGUCCUAAGGUAGGAUUGCUGCCUUAGUAAAAUCUGGCUAUAUGCUGGAAACUCCGAGUAUCCUGCAGUACUCGCUUUGCAUAAAAUUUUUUAAUUUUUAUGCAAAGCAGUGAAAAUCUGACAGGUGCGGACAAUCAGCAGGAAAGACUGGUAAAAAUUGGUUUGGACAGUUAGUUUUGUAGAUGGCAAAGGAUACUUUUUUUGAUCGGCUUUUCUUAAACAGCAAAGUAGAAAAACUCAGAAAGGUUACAAAACUGGCUAUCAAGUGUUUCAUGAAUUCGCUGUUACUCAAAGUGGAAAAAGCCUUUCCACAGUUUACAGGAACUUCAUGAGCUCUUUAAAGUUGGGUAAAUCAAAUAAAUAUUUUGAAAGAUAUAACAAUUAUAAAGACCACUUGUAUCGAUAUCUCGUAAGACGGCGGAAAGAUUUAUUUAGAAAUAAUCAUUCCGUUUUUUUUGACGAUAUUCAUUGUAGACUUCAAAGGAAUUGAACUUUGAGAAAUUUGAAAAAUGUCUUGAGUUAAUUUAAUUUGAGUUAAUUAAGGUUUGAUUAAGAUUGCUGAAAUUACUCAAACAAUGAAUCUUCAACAAUCGCGAGCCGAAUUUAUCAGAAUCCUCAGAGACUAUAUGCCGGAUAUUCGAUAAACUUCGAAUGAAGAUAUAGUCCCGACUACAUGGCGACAUGUAGGAAAAGUAAAAUUACUUUUCGACCUAUUCAAAUUACAACUUAAUUGAAUAAGUUAAGAUUUCAAGCGAAAUUCCUUGUCGGGUAAGUUCCGACCUGCACGAAUGGCGUAACGAUGGCCACGCUGUCUCCACCCAAGGCUCAGUGAAAUUGAAAUCGCUGUGAAGAUGCAGCGUACCCGCGGCUAGACGGAAAGACCCCGUGAACCUUUACUACAGCUUUACAUU